AUCCGUUUUUCCAAAUCUUCGUUCUUCUCUUGCAGCUCCGACAGGAUGUCGUACAUCACGUUCUGCGUCUGCGGGCGAGAAGGGGAAAGACACAGCGAGUGCGUACCGCUGAUUUAUCGUUCGCCAAUCUCACAGAUAUAGAAACCUCAGUGUGCCAGGUGAAUGGGGGGAGAGGAGUAUCGUGUGACGUUUCAGCUGUUAAUUAAUGACGGAAAUCUCCACAGAGAUUUCUCAACAGGAAAGGCGAGCGGUUAUUGAAUGUGACGAAGAGAGCAUUAUUGCUUUUAUGAACCAUUAUCGAAUGCAUCAUCCGGCCCACUCGGUGUUUAGAAAUGAGACAAUUGCACACUUCUUAAGGAGAAAUCUCUCAAGCAACCCUGCAAAUUAAGACUCCCGAAAUUGUAUUCCCUCUCUGAGAAAAGA